rnacentral:rRNA from 1 species
AACGCUAGCUACAGGCUUAACACAUGCAAGUCGAGGGGAAACGAUAUUGGAAGCUUGCUUCCGAUAGGCGUCGACCGGCGCACGGGUGAGUAACGCGUAUCCAACCUGCCCACCACUUGGGGAUAACCUUGCGAAAGUAAGACUAAUACCCAAUGAUAUCUCUAGAAGACAUCUGAAAGAGAUUAAAGAUUUAUCGGUGAUGGAUGGGGAUGCGUCUGAUUAGCUUGUUGGCGGGGUAACGGCCCACCAAGGCGACGAUCAGUAGGGGUUCUGAGAGGAAGGUCCCCCACAUUGGAACUGAGACACGGUCCAAACUCCUACGGGAGGCAGCAGUGAGGAAUAUUGGUCAAUGGACGAGAGUCUGAACCAGCCAAGUAGCGUGCAGGAAGACGGCCCUAUGGGUUGUAAACUGCUUUUAUAAGGGAAUAAAGUGAGCCUCGUGAGGCUUUUUGCAUGUACCUUAUGAAUAAGGACCGGCUAAUUCCGUGCCAGCAGCCGCGGUAAUACGGAAGGUCCAGGCGUUAUCCGGAUUUAUUGGGUUUAAAGGGAGCGUAGGCCGUCUGUUAAGCGUGUUGUGAAAUGUAGAUGCUCAACAUCUGAAUUGCAGCGCGAACUGGCAGACUUGAGUGUGCGCAACGUAGGCGGAAUUCGUGGUGUAGCGGUGAAAUGCUUAGAUAUCACGAAGAACUCCGAUUG